AGCGAACGCUGGCGGCAGGCCUAACACAUGCAAGUCGAACGAACUCUUCGGAGUUAGUGGCGGACGGGUGAGUAACACGUGGGAACGUGCCUUUUGGUUCGGAAUAACUCAGGGAAACUUGUGCUAAUACCGAAUGUGCCCUUCGGGGGAAAGAUUUAUCGCCAUUAGAGCGGCCCGCGUCUGAUUAGCUAGUUGGUGAGGUAACGGCUCACCAAGGCGACGAUCAGUAGCUGGUCUGAGAGGAUGACCAGCCACACUGGGACUGAGACACGGCCCAGACUCCUACGGGAGGCAGCAGUGGGGAAUCUUGCGCAAUGGGCGAAAGCCUGACGCAGCCAUGCCGCGUGAAUGAUGAAGGUCUUAGGAUUGUAAAAUUCUUUCACCGGGGACGAUAAUGACGGUACCCGGAGAAGAAGCCCCGGCUAACUUCG
rnacentral:rRNA from 1 species